AAAGGUUGUUAAUUUCAAAUGUUACUUUUAUGCAGAUAAACAGAACACAUAUUUCAAUUUCCAGUAUAGUUUUGCGGAUUUCAGCAUAAAAAAGAGCUCAGACAGUCAUUUUGCAAAGCACACAAAAAUACACAAUGCCUAAAAUAUAUGAUGGUACCUGUGAUGAUAAAUAAUAUAAUCACAUAGAUCCAAAAUCCCUGUUGGAGUCAUUCAGAAUAUUUCCAUAGAGUCACUUUGCAUCAGCAGCUCCAUGCUCCAGUGCUCUGGGAGAGUUUAUAGUCCUGACAGUUGAACACUGGAUGACUGACAGCUGUCCUUCAUCACAACUGAAGACACAGAAAUCCUCCUCAUCAAAAACAUGACUUUGAUCUGCGUCCUCAUCUGGACUCUCCUCUGCUGCUGCUUCACAGAGGUCAGAGGUCAGGUCACAGUGACUCAGCCUGCAACAGUGAGAGCUGAUCUAGGAGGAUUUGUAAUCAUCAGAUGUAGAACCAGUCAGAAUGUUUAUGUGGACAGCCAUGGCCACCGUUUAGCCUGGUACCAACAGAAAGAUGGACAAACUCCUAAGCUCCUCAUUUAUAAGGCUAACACUCGAGCAUCGGGGACUCCAGGUCGUUUUCCAGGCAGUGGAUCAAACUCUGACUUCACUCUCACCAUCAGUGGAAUUCAGGCUGAAGAUGCUGCAGUUUAUUACUGUCAGAGUUUUCAUAAUAUUGGGAGUCAGUGGGUGUUCACACAGUGAAAAACAGUCGUACAAAAACCUUCCUCAAUCAAACUGAACUGAAACUCAAGUUUCAAUGCAUUGUCAGUGGCAGCUGGAAGCUGCAGUAAAGACAGACACAAUUAAAUGAAAACAAGUUGGAGUGUGUUCAAAGACUGGCUGAAAGCAUUUGAU